UACAAUUCGCUGAACGCGGGAUACAUGUUUUGAUAUGCGGGAGCACCAGGGAACCGCUCACGAGGGGAACCGCCCCUGGGGGCCGCCCAAGGGAACCGCGUUUUCAUUAGCCACUCCACUCGUUCAUCUGCCUCACGUAGCCUUUUGGGGGCCUCUUUCCAUACGUCGUGCCCCAGAAAACUCAAAAAACGGAGGACGAGUGAUCCCCAUCCGCCCCCUUCGGGGUUGAAGAGGGACUCUGCGACCUCCUGUCGCAAAACUUGGUGUGCCACAGACCCACGCUGUAAACGGACACGGUUCCAAAACCUCAUAAUCUGCUAUGGGGAUGUGAAAUGGCGCUUGACGGUGGGGCGCAUUGAGGUGCGCAGUGGUGAUGAACUUACUGCAAUCGAGCUCAUUUUUUCCCGCUGCAGGAGGCCAGCAAGCGGCCCCACGGCACGGCACGUCUGCUGGUGAAAUAAGAGGGUCGCUGUCGAUAAGCCCGCGCGUUGAAGUUAUUCCGUGUCGGUUCUGUUCCCUAUUCUUCGUGCCCAAUAACCACGCGAACCAACUCGAGCAGCGCUACCGUCUCUUCCCAUUGUUAAACACCAAAACCCCAUAGAGGGUAUGUCAGUUUCGGAAACAGCCCUUGUUCAUUACGCCGUGCAUGACGCCACAACACCUUCCGAUUCCGCCGUACAGCGUUGCAAAUGCAGAGGUUUUCCCCUGAUGUGUGUAUACAUAAAUUAUAGCUUGUGAGGCUGCAGAAGUACCAUGCGGAUGCUGUCGAUGCCCUACAGGCGACACAGCUGCUGGUCAGCAGGUGUAACAUGACUUUGAUCUUCCAAAACGUUUUGUCAAACAUCUGGCCUCAUCGUGCCAUGAUAAG
rnacentral:lncRNA from 1 species